GAAAAGAAAGAAGAAAAGAAAGAAGAAAAGGAUGUGGAUCUUGUCAUUCCAGAUUCUUACAUUGAGUUGUUUGUCA
rnacentral:ribozyme from 13 species